rnacentral:rRNA from 1 species
AUUGAGCGCUGGCGGCAUGCCUUACACAUGCAAGUCGAACGGCAGCACGGACUUCGGUCUGGUGGCGAGUGGCGAACGGGUGAGUAAUGUAUCGGAACGUACCUUAGAGUGGGGGAUAACGUAGCGAAAGUUACGCUAAUACCGCAUAUUCUGUGCGCAGGAAAGCAGGGGAUCGCAAGACCUUGUGCUCUUUGAGCGGCCGAUAUCAGAUUAGCUAGUUGGUGAGGUAAAAGCUCACCAAGGCGACGAUCUGUAGCGGGUCUGAGAGGAUGAUCCGCCACACUGGAACUGAGACACGGUCCAGACUCCUACGGGAGGCAGCAGUGGGGAAUUUUGGACAAUGGGGGCAACCCUGAUCCAGCCAUGCCGCGUGAGUGAAGAAGGCCUUCGGGUUGUAAAGCUCUUUCAGCCGGGAAGAAUCGCAUAGGCUAAUACCCUGUGCGGAUGACGGUACCGGAAUAAGAAGCACCGGCUAACUACGUGCCAGCCGCCGCAGUAAUAC